rnacentral:rRNA from 1 species
AUGAACGCUAGCGGCAGGCCUAAUACAUGCAAGUCGAACGGGAUCCAGAUCAAAGCUUGCUUUGGUUUGGUGAGAGUGGCGCACGGGUGCGUAACGCGUGAGCAACCUACCCUUGUCAGGGGGAUAGCCCGGCGAAAGUCGGAUUAAUACCGCAUGACAUCAUUGAGAGGCAUCUUUCGAUGAUCAAAGAUUUAUCGGACAAGGAUGGGCUCGCGUGACAUUAGCUAGUUGGUAAGGUAACGGCUUACCAAGGCUACGAUGUCUAGGGGCUCUGAGAGGAGAAUCCCCCACACUGGUACUGAGACACGGACCAGACUCCUACGGGAGGCAGCAGUAAGGAAUAUUGGUCAAUGGACGGAAGUCUGAACCAGCCAUGCCGCGUGCAGGAAGGCGGCCCUAUGGGUUGUAAACUGCUUUUAUACGGGAACAAACGUCGGUACGUGUACCGGUCUGAGUGUACCGUAAGAAUAAGGAUCGGCUAACUCCGUG